UUUUAUAGUAUUAUUUAUUGUAGUUUUCAGUGUGAUUUAUUGUGUAGUUUAUUGUAUUCAUGGUACAAGAGUGGAGACAGGAUUAGAGCAACCAAAAGAAGCUGCUCUAAAAAACGACAGACACGCUGCCCAUCAUGCAGCCAUCCAACAUGCGCAAUAUUCACUCUGUACUUAUCAUAAAGCAUGCACGUCCAUGCAACAUGCUGCCGAUACACUCCACACCAUGCAUCAUUAUCCGCACCUGCAUCAAAUCAUCCUGCUUGUCUGAAGUGUUUUUGACUUUGUAGACAAGCAACAGCAUUUAACCAGCUGGAUAUGGCUGCAGGAAGUCACAACAGGGUACAGAAAGUAGCGUUUUUUUCAGGAAGUUUUCACAUUUGCAGAACACUGUGUAUGCGAGGACCACAAAUAUUCUUAUUUAUACUUCUUAUUUUUCUCAAUUCUCAUAAAAUAAAAAACCCUGAUUGCAUGAUUAUGUGAUUGUCUCCUCAUCACCAUCUCCAGAGAGACAAUGACUGAUAUAAUGUGCUUGAAAGACAGUAACCACAAUGACACUGGCUCAUUCUAAAGAUCUGUGAAAAUAAUGCCUUUUAACAGCUAAAGACUAGAAACUUCUCUGGACUUGGACUGGAGCUUCAAGUCUUAGAAGUAAUUUGCAGUGCGGUAAUUCUCUUUUUUCUAUUUCUGUUACAGUACCAUAGCUGUGUGUGGUAUUUCAUAUGACUGGUUGGUUAAACUGCCAGUGUCAUAAUCCUGUUGUGUUGUAAUGCUUAAUUUCUGCAAAUACCAACAAAAGUCAACAACCAAGUUCCCUAUAACACAGUGUACUUGCACAAUUCUGGUAAAUCUGGUGAUGUUCUGUAUUUUAUUCCAGUCACGUACACACAGAAAAAUAGAGGUAUUGUUUCUGUACCUUAAAGUACAUUUGCUACAAGAGUACCCUGUAAGGUACAAGAAAUGGUCCUUGGGGUGACAACUGUGGACCUUUGUUUUAAUUUAAAGGUACAAAAUCAGUUCUUACAACAAAGGGUACAUAAUUGUACUUAUAAAUAGCUGAAGGUUCAGACAAAUUAUGCAAAUCACAAAAUCUUAAUUAAAAUAAAAAGUGUGUAUAUUGAAAAUUAAAAAGUGGUAAAAAUUUACAAAAAAAGUGGUAAAGUGGUAAAAAUUUACAAUGGUAAAUUUCCAUCCAUUUCAUGGCCAGUAUGACCUAUAUAAGUUUCAUUAGUAAAUUAGCUGGGAUUUUAGCUAGUCUUCAUUACACUGUUGCAGAUUAUAAACAGAUUAAAAAUAUCAUAUCAAUAUAGGAUCAUGAUAUGGUCUAUUCAAAUUCCAAGAAUAUAGCCCUUUUCACACUCUGGUAAAGGACCUGGUAAAUUAAUAAUAUGCUGGUAAACUGGCUCUGGCAAUCUUAUGUGAACAGCACAUUAACCGGCAUUGUUUACCGGCAAUAAUAUGAUAUGAUAUGAUAUGAUAUGAUAUGAUAUGAUAUGAUAUGAUAUGAUAUGAUAUGAUAUGAUAUGAUAUGAUAUGAUAGAAUAGAAUAGAAUAGCAACCACAGCUUUUAAAGGCAGCUGCCAUGACGCGAUGACCAAUCAGCGAUUUUCUUUCCUAUGUAGAAGGCGGGACUUAUGCUACUCUUGGUUGCGCUUUCUUCCAUGCGUGUCGAAGUGUUUGAAAUGAGGGAAAAUGUCGGCUAAUUGUCCAUCUUUGUCGUGUUUGACCACGGAUGAACUAAUUAAAAAAAUAAUUGAAGCUGGAAUACAGAUUAACGAAGAAGAAGCAAGAAAAUUCAGAGUUUGUAGGCCAAUACAAGGAGAAUGAGACCAUUGCUGUAUUAGAGCCAGUACCAGUUGAAUUCGCCAAGUCUACAGCAGAACUCCAGCCUCAUCCUUCCACUGACCUAAGCAGUGGUGAAGCAGCUCACAGACUACCUGUUGUGACUGUCAUUCCAACCUUUCCCAAAGAUGUCCAGGUAUCCAACUAAUGAAGAGUAUAUUCAAGUUGCCAAGCCACUGAUUGUGAAAUACCCUUUCCUGGGAUAUAAGGAAGGAUAAGAAGGCUAUGGUUCAAUAUGACGUCAGUCCACCCUUUGCAGCUAUAACAGCUUCAACUCUUCUGGGAAGGCUGUCCACAAGGUUUGGGAGUGUGUUUAUGGGAAUUUUUGACCAUUCUUCCAGAAGCGCAUUUGUGAGGUCACACACUGAUGUUGGAUGAGAAGGCCUGGCUCUCAGUCUCCACUCUAAUUCAUCCCAAAGGUGUUCUAUCGGGUUGAGGUCAGGACUCUGUGCAGGCCAGUCAAGUUCAUCCACACCAGACUCUGUCAUCCAUGUCUUUAUGGACCUUGCUUUGUGCACUGGUGCACAGUCAUGUUGGAAGAGGAAGGGUCCAGCUCCAAACUGUUCCCACAAAGUUGGGAGCAUGGAAUUGUCCAAAAUGUCUUGGUAUGCUGAAGCAUUCAGAGUUCCUUUCACUGGAACUAAGGGGCCAAGCCCAGCUCCUGAAAAACAACCCCACACCAUAAUCCCCCCUCCACCAAACUUUACACUUGGCACAAUGCAGUCAGACAAGUACCGUUCUCCUGGCAACCGCCAAACCCAGACUCGUCCAUCAGAUUGGCAGAUGGAGAAGCACGAUUCGUCACUCCAGAGAACGCGUCUCCACUGCUCUAGAGUCCAGUGGCGGCGUGCUUUACACCACUGCAUCCGACGCUUUGCAUUGCACUUGGUGAUGUAUGUCUUGGAUGCAGCUGCUCGGCCAUGGAAACCCAUUCCAUGAAGCUCUCUGCGCACUGUUCUUGAGCUAAUCUGAAGGCCACAUGAAGUUUGGAGGUCUGUAGCGAUUGACUCUGCAGAAAGUUGGCGACCUCUUCGCACUAUGUGCCUCAGCAUCCGCUGACCCCGCUCCGUCAGUUUACGUGGCCUACCACUUUGUGGCUGAGUUGCUGUCGUUCCCAAACACUUCCACGUUCUUAUAAUACAGCUGACAGUUGACUGUGGAAGAUUUAGGAGUGAGGAAAUUUCACGACUGGAUUUGUUGCACAGGUGGCAUCCUAUCACAGUUCCACGCUGGAAUUCACUGAGCUCCUGAGAGCGACCCAUUCUUUCACAAAUGUUUGUAAAAACAGUCUGCAUGCCUAGGUGCUUGAUUUUAUACACCUGUGGCCAUGGAAGUGAUUGGAACACCUGAUUCUGAUUAUUUGGAUGGCGGUACCCUGCAAGAACCUUUCCAACCAUACAACUUCUGGAUGAUGACUGGAAAAUGGCAAUCAUUGGAAGAGGGCUCAGUGUGGUGAAAGUAGAUGGUAUAGAAGUGUGCCAGUGCACCAGCCUUGAUGAAGCCUUGAAAGUUGAUUUUAUAAAGAAUAUCCAGUUAAUAUCCAUAUUAGUUAAAAUGAGUUACUAAUGUUUUGUAUUUUAUACUCCUAGAAAUGGUACUUGUUUUUAUAAACACUUGUUAAACACUGCCUAUGCAUUUUGCAUUGUAAACUGACUAAUUACUGUUAUUGAUGCUUCCAGUUUUGUUGUUAAGUUUGGAAGGAAUUGAAACAUUCUACAUGUUAAUUGAAUUUCGUUAAUGUUGGGUGCAGAAUAACCAGUGUAUGAGAAUUGAGACUGCUCUGUCAUUUUAUACUCGGAG